GACGAACGCUGGCGGCGUGCUUAACACAUGCAAGUCGAACGGUGCAGCACCUUUCAUUUGGUGGGUGUGGGUGAGUGUUGAACGUGAGUGUAACACGUGAGUAUCCUGCGCCCUUCUUCUGGCUAACAGCAUGAAAGAGUGGCUAAUACGGGAUAUUCUGACUCUGUCGCAUGGCGGCCCUGGGUAAGAUAUUGUUUCGGUGUGGGAUGGGCUCGCGGGUGAUCAGCUUGGGGGUGGGGUGAUGGCCUAUCACGGCGGUGAUGGGUGGCCAGCCUGAGCGGGUGGACGGGCACACUGGGGAUGGGGCACGGCCCAGACUGCUACGGGAGACAGCAGUGGGGAAUAUGGGACAAAGGGGGCAAGCCUGAUGCAGCGUCGCCGCGUGAGUGAUGGAGGCCUUCGGGUUGUAAAACGCAUUCGCCAGGGAAGCAGGGCUGUAUCAUCUGUGAGGAGGUUGACGGUAGCUGGAUAAGAAGCACCGGCUAACUACGUG
rnacentral:rRNA from 1 species